UAUGGUAAUUGUGGCCAGCCGCGGUAAUACGUAGGUGGCAAGCGUUAUCCGGAUUUAUUGGGUUUAAAGGGAGCGUAGGCGGGUUGUUAAGUCAGUUGUGAAAGUUUGCGGCUCAACCGUAAAAUUGCAGUUGAUACUGGCGACCUUGAGUGCAACAGAGGUAGGCGGAAUUCGUGGUGUAGCGGUGAAAUGCUUAGAUAUCACGAAGAACUCCGAUUGCGAAGGCAGCUUACUGGAUUGUAACUGACGCUGAUGCUCGAAAGUGUGGGUAUCAAACAGG
rnacentral:rRNA from 1 species